CACGUAGGGCGCAAGCGUUGUCCGGAAUUAUUGGGCGUAAAGAGCUCGUAGGCGGUUUGUCGCGUCGGCUGUGAAAUCCCGAGGCUCAACCUCGGGCCUGCAGUCGAUACGGGCAAACUAGAGUGUGGUAGGGGAGACUGGAAUUCCUGGUGUAGCGGUGAAAUGCGCAGAUAUCAGGAGGAACACCGGCGGCGAAGGCGGGUCUCUGGGCCAUAACUGACGCUGAGGAGCGAAAGCGUGGGGAGCGAACAGG
rnacentral:rRNA from 1 species